UGCCAGCAGCCGCGGUAACACGGGGGGCGCAAGCGUUAUUCGGAUUUAUUGGGCGUAAAGGGUCCGUAGGGGGUCUGUUAAGUCUGGUGUGAAUGCCCACGGCUCAACCGUGGAACUGCAUUGGAAACUGGCAGACUAGAGCACAGUAGAGGAGAGUGGAAUUCCUGGUGUAGCGGUGGAAUGCGUAGAUAUCAGGAGGAACACCGAUGGCGAAGGCAGCUCUCUGGGCUGUUGCUGACCCUGAGGGACGAAAGCUAGGAUAGCGAACAGGAUUAGAUA
rnacentral:rRNA from 1 species